GACAGAGGAGCCAAGCGUUGUCCGGAUUGACUGGGCGUAAAGCGCACGCAGGCGGUCGUGCACGUGGGGUGUGAAAACUGGCGGCUUAACUGCCAGAGGCCACCUCAUACGGCGCGACUCGAGCCCAUGCAGAGGUCCACGGAAUUGCCGGUGUAGUGGUGAAAUGCGCAGAUAUCAGGAGGAACACCGGUGGCGAAGGCGCCACUCUGGGCCGGUACUGACGCUGGAGGAGCGAAAGCGUGGGUAGCAAACAGG
rnacentral:rRNA from 1 species